rnacentral:rRNA from 1 species
CCUACGGGAGGCAGCAGUGAGGAAUAUUGGUCAAUGGGCGAGAGCCUGAACCAGCCAAGUAGCGUGCAGGAUGAAGGCCCUAUGGGUUGUAAACUGCUUUUAUAAGGGAAUAAAGUGAGUCUCGUGAGACUUUUUGCAUGUACCUUAUGAAUAAGGACCGGCUAAUUCCGUGCCAGCACC